AGAUCUGUUCAGUGAUGGUAGAGCUUGCCUAUUUAUGCAGAAGCUCGUGUGCCAAUAUGGCAUGCAUGUAAUACAUGUGAGCUUUUCACUUGGUGGGUCACACUAUUGAGCUCUUUUGGUCUAAAAUGAGGCCAUUUCACUCAUCAGGCAUGCCACACUAUUUAGAUCUUCUGGCCAAGAAGUCAGGUAGUUUCACUCCUCAGUUGGGCUAAUUUUAUUAUUAUUAUUAUUUUUUUUUUUUACAGAACAAACAGUUGAUAGAAAAAUUUGUUUUAUCUACCCACUUGUUUUACACAAUGUGACCCACCUGAGUGGUAAACUAAAAGUUGAAACAAACUGAUUUUAUUUUUUUUAGAAAAUCUAGGCAGUGUGACCCAGUCAACGAGGCUAAUCAUGUUGCUCCGAAUUGUUGGAACCGGUUCAACCAUUCCUAUCAAGCAGAAGUGAUUCCCCAAGCAUCGGUACCGAUGAUAGUGACUGACCCACAAGACCUAGAGUGGAUACUUGACACUAGAGCAAGCCCUUAUAUAACCAACAAUGCAGGUCUUUCAAAUACUAUUCACCCUUAUUUAGGAAAAUAAUAAAAUUAUUAUUGGUGAUGGAAAAAAGUUAUACGCAUGUGGGCUCUAUGUUAGCUACUCCGAGGAACUUCCACAUUCGCUAGAAGGAAAUCAAACACAAGCACUUCCAAAGAUCAUCCCCAAAUAGGACAUCUCCCAUCACAUUCCUUUCCUCACAUAUCACAUGAAUUCCUUAAAACACUAGUAGGGCAAACAAGAUAACACAGCUCCAAAGCCAUCCAACCUAAAUGCAAGAACCUAAUACCAUGAACAAUCAUAUACCUAUCUAGGAUUGGGUGAAGGCACCGAGAGCCUGAUGGUUGAGACCUUUUAUUCCAACUUUUUGCUGGUUCCCAUUCACAAGAUGACCACUUAACCUUUCACAUGUUGCAACCAAGGAAUCCAUCCAUGUAACACAUAAAAUAAUGAGUCGGGAUCCUCUGUUAUUCGGUAAACAGGGACUUCCUAAUUGCCUAAUCCUCAUUGGUCCACGUCACCACUCCCUUAAAAAAAACUAAAACAAAAAAUCGGACUCCAAACUAUUAUGGAAAAAGCCAAAGGAAUUAAAAAAAUAAUUAAAAAAUAAAAAAAAAACGAAAAAGAGAAGAAAAACCCAAGGAAAUGAAAGAAAAUCCUCAGAGAGAGAAAUGAAAUGAUGUCUGCUUCUCCCAUUUCUCUACUUUCACAGGUCCCGAAAAAAUCCUCAAAUCCAAAACUCUAAUUUCCAGCUCCAGAUCUCAUUCAUAUCCGUUGCUGGUCUAAUCUCCCUUCACUCACCUUCCAUCUCAUCAUCAUCAUCAGAUUUCUAGAAGCUUAUCUGCAUCGGUCUCCAUGCAGCAGCAGAUCCGCACAAGCUCGAACGAUCUUGUUUCUUCGAUUCUUUCCAAGUAGAGUUGGCUACCGAAAGUUUAGAUGAGAAUGCAAACCAAGAGCAAUCAGAGAUGGUUUUCCAGAUGACUGAAAUUGAUGAUAUGCAGGCCCCUCGUGACCUUUCGCUUGCACAACUUUUAUCAAGAGUCCUCUAGUGGUGGUUCGCCCUUGAAUAAUUAUAGAAGACGCACAGGAGAAGUUAUCGAUAUAGCUGUCGGAUGUGUAGGUGGACUAUUGAUACAUGCAUCCAUUUUCUAUCUAUGGUGGAUGAAGGAUGCACCUGGCCAUAUGCGAGUGCGCACAGACUCACCAAGAAAAGGAUGAUGACCUUUUCUUUAUAUUUUCAGCAUUAUUG